rnacentral:rRNA from 1 species
UACGUAGGGUGCGAGCGUUGUCCGGAAUUAUUGGGCGUAAAGAGCUCGUAGGCGGUUUGUUGCGUCGGGCCGUGAAAACCUGCAGCUUAACUGUGGGCCUGCGGCCGAUACGGGCAGACUUGAGUUCGGUAGGGGAGACUGGAAUUCCUGGUGUAGCGGUGAAAUGCGUAGAUAUCGGGAGGAACACCAGUGGCGAAGGCGACUACCUGGCCUGUUCUUGACGCUGAGGCGCGAAAGCUAGGGGAGCAAACGGG